rnacentral:lncRNA from 13 species
CUUGGUGUAAAAGAUGGAGACUCCUGAUCAACCAGACUAAAACACAGAUAAUGACUUGGAGACUCCUGAUCAACCAGACUAAAACACAGAUAAUGACUUGGAGACUCCUGAUCAACCAGACUAAAACACAGAUAAUGCAUUUGAGAAAAACAGUUACUAAGAGAAGUCUUUUUCAGUUUUGUUUUAGUGAAGACAUUGUUGAGUUUGCUAGCAAUUAUAAAUAUUUGGGUAUUUUAAUUGAUGAACACAUUACCUUUCAAAACAGAACAUCUGUCCUGGCCGACUCAGCAAGUAGAGCUCUUGGGGGAGUUAUAAGGAAGUACAAAAACCACUCAAAGAUAUUGAUUAUGCUACGUAUUCCAAACCGUAUCAGACAUGCGUGUGUCCUGUUCUGGACUAUUCAGCAGGAGGUACAAGACAACCUGUAACUAGAG